UACGUAGGGGGCAAGCGUUGUCCGGAUUUAUUGGGCGUAAAGAGCGUGUAGGCGGCCAGAUAGGUCCGUUGUGAAAACUCGAGGCUCAACCUCGAGACGCCGAUGGAAACCAUCUGGCUAGAGCCCGGAAGAGGCGAGUGGAAUUCCUGGUGUAGCGGUGGAAUGCGCAGAUAUCAGGAGGAACACCGAUAGCGAAGGCAGCUCGCUGGGACGGUACUGACGCUAAGGCGCGAAAGCGUGGGGAGCGAACAGG
rnacentral:rRNA from 1 species